GCUAAAAACUUAGCCUUACCCCUACAAUUAUAUUUACCCUAUUUUACUUACACAAAAUAAAACAUUCUUUAAGCUUAGUAAAGGAGAUAAAAAAGUUUUUUAGAGCUAUAAAAUAAGUACCGCAAGGGAAAAAUGAAAUAAAAAUGAAACAAAAUUCAAGCAUAAUAUAGUAGAGUUUUCCCCUCGUACCUUUUGCAUCAUGAUUCAACUAGUUUAACCACGCAAAAAGAAUUUAAGUUUGACUUCCCGAAACUAAGUGAGCUACUUCAGGGCAGCUAAAUGAGCCAACCCGUCUCUGUUGCAAAAGAGUGGGAUGACCCUUAAGUAGAGGUGAUAAACCUAACGAACUUAGUGAUAGCUGGUUAUUCAGGAAAAGAAUUUUAGUUCAACUUAAAAUUACAUAAAUAAAAUAAAAUAAAAUUUUAAUUUUAAAGCAAUUCAAAUAAGGUACAGCCUAUUUGAAAUAGAAUACAAUCUAAACUAUAGGGUAAAUAUAAAAAAUUAAUGUAAUAAAGUAGGCCUAAAAGCAGCCAACUUUAAAAUAGCGUCAAAGCUUACUUCCAUAAUUUUUUAAUACUAUUAUUUACAAUGAACCCUUUAUUUUUACUGAAUAUUUCUAUAAAGUUAUAGAACCUUUUAUGUUGAAACUAGUAACAAGAAGUUAAACUUCUCCUCAAUAUAAGUAUAAGUCGACUAGGAUAAACCAUCGACAAUUAACGCUUAAAUUAAAUGUAUUAACUCCACAAGAAAAACUUACAUUACCCCACGUUAAUCUUACANCAGAACAUUUAAGGAAAGAUUAAAAAAA
rnacentral:rRNA from 1 species